UGUAGUUCCCAAGAACAAAUAAAUUGUAGCUUGGAGGAAAAAAUUCAUAAAUGGCAAUCAACCAAGAAACUUUUGUAGACCAAGCUACAGGACAUUCAGGUAGUAUUGCAAGCAUUUUACCCUCUACCAUCUUGUCCUGAAAACAUGGCCUCCAAGAAUGAGCCCUCCUCCUCCAAAAGGCUUGGGGAUGGAAGAGAUUUGUUGCCAGUCAUGAACACUGCUACUGAAUGUCAAAAACGGCAGGCUCUUACUUUUCCUUCUAUAGUUGAAGGGAGUCAUGACUCUCAGGUUGAAGCAAUGCCUAGCAUGUUGAAGUUACUAUCCCCAGAAGCUCUUUUGCAGAAAAUUCCUUUGAAGAGCACUAAUGCUCUCCUUCAAGAGAAGCCAGAAGAAAGUCUUCUUCCUUUAUCAAAUGUUCAGAGGGAAUCAUCAGAUGAUGACACCCCAAACCCUCUAAAGGAAAUGGGGGGUCCAUCAGCAGCAUCUGUUGAAAGAGACAUGCCAUUCAACACCAAGGAGAUGCAUUCAGAAGAGAGAGAGGAAGAACUACAACAGCUCAUAAUGAAACUGAAGGAUUCCUUGUCUGUCCAAGUACAAACAGAUCAACCAUCUUCAGCAAAGCUGGAUCUGUAUUUCCAAGCAGCUGAAGUGAGCAAGGCCUUUUCUAACCUCAUUGACCAAUUGACCUUAAGAACCUGGAAAUGAGAGGAUUCUGGGACCAUUUUAAUUUCUUCAAGACACAGUUUCUUCACCUAUAAAAUGGAGGUAAUCAUCCAAGACUCAAAGGACUCAACAAAAAAAAGGCUAUCUGCCAUCAUAGAAAGAACUGACAGAGUCUGAAUGCAGAUCAGAACAUGCCAUUCUUCACUUUAUUCCUUCAUGAAUUUCUCUUUAGUAUAAGUGAUGUGUGUCUUCUUUCACAACAUGACAAAAGAAUGGAACUAUGUAUUUCAUGAUAUUGCAUGUACAAUCUAUAUUGCAUCCACCAUAUGGAGGGGGAGGGAUGAAGAAGGGAGAGAAGAGGAAGGGAAGCAGAGAAUAGAGAUUAUAAAAUGUGAGAAAGUGAUUAUUAAAGUUCUAUCUACAUGGAAUCUGGAAAAUUAAAAUAAAAGAUAAAGAAUAUGAGAAAGGACUAUGAAAAGAAAAAACAAAAUAAAAUGGAGUUAAUUAUAUUUGUACCAUAUUUCUCAUUAGGAUGUUCUGAGAACCAAUUGUAAAUCACUGCAUAAACCUUAGAGUGCAUUAUAGGUAUAGGUUAUUAGUAGUAGUAGUAGUAGUAAUUUUGUGUCCCUUGCUAGGUUAAGACUUUCUAGAUUAGGGGGCAGCUAGGUGGCUCAGUGGAAUGAGAGCCAGACCUAGAGAUGGGAGGUCCUAGGUUCAAAUCUGGCCUUAAACACUUCCCAGCUAUGUGACCCUGGGCAAGUCACUUAACCCCCAUUGCUUAGCCCUUACCACUCUUCUGUCUUGGACUGAGACAGAAGGUAAGGGUUUAGGGGGAAAAAAAGACUUUCUAGAUCAAAGAUCUAAAAGAAUCAAAGGGAAUUUCAGGUUCCAGUGUGAGCCACCCAGACUCAGUGACACCUACCAUAAGUUUGUGCUUUGUAUGUGCUUUUAAUAAACUAAUUUUUCUUUUAGUGCUGAUGCUUGAAAAAGCUCUCACUAUGUACUAAACAUUGUAAGGUGGUAGAGAUACAGUAAGAUAAUUCUUGCUUUCAAGAGGCUUACGUUCCAAUAGACAAAACAUAUAGCAGAGAGGACAAGAAUAAGUGGAACCUUAGAAGAAUAGAUUGAUGUAUCCAUUCUUUGAACAGAUGACAAAGUUAUUUUCAUUGUGAUUCUAGAGCUGGAAAACAGAGACAUGACAAAAUGAUGACUUAAUUUUUUUUAUUUCUAAAAUUUAAAAGUUCCUUUCCUUUAAAAAAGUAAAAGCCCAGUUAAAUAGGUCAUGUAAUUAUUAUUAUCUCCAUUUCACAGGUGAAUAAACCAAGGCAUAGACAGUAUUAUAAGAGAAGUUUUCAGUCUUGACUUUAUACCACCAUUUCCUUAAGAUAGAAAAGUCAUAUAACUAACUGAAGUCUGCAGAAUUUAGCUGAGGCUUCGACUAUUAGUGUAGGUGAUUAACACGUUAGUGAUAACAGAAUUUCUGACUUGGCUUUCUUACCUCUAUUUACUUAAGAUGAGCAAGUGAAAUAAUUAGCAAUAGCUCCAAUGUUAAUGGUUAGUCUGCAGAAAACAUCUUUAUCCCCAGUGUUUACUGACCAGUUUGUAAUUUUACCUCAUGUACUUCCUCUCCUGCUAUAUAUUAUUUAAUAUGUAAAUCUUUAUCUUCUCCUUCUGCCUUAUGUACAAUUUCAUUGUGCCUCUUCUGUCUACCUAAGAUCUGUUUGAGAUUGCUGAAAACUGAUGCUUGGGGCUCACCAGGAUUUUGUUUGUCUCAGCUCUAAACAUAUAAUAAAUUGGCUUUC